rnacentral:rRNA from 1 species
UACGUAGGGUGCAAGCGUUAAUCGGAAUUACUGGGCGUAAAGUGUGCGCAGGCGGUGAUGUAAGACAGUUGUGAAAUCCCCGGGCUCAACCUGGGAACUGCAUCUGUGACUGCAUUGCUGGAGUGCGGCAGAGGGGGAUGGAAUUCCGCGUGUAGCAGUGAAAUGCGUAGAUAUGCGGAGGAACACCGAUGGCGAAGGCAAUCCCCUGGGCCUGCACUGACGCUCAUGCACGAAAGCGUGGGGAGCAAACAGG